rnacentral:miRNA from 1 species
GCGAACGUCAACCUUGCAAGCCAGGCUCUCUACUUCCGCUUCCCUCCCUAACACGUCUCUGCUGGAGCGUGUUAGGGAGGGAAGCGGAAGUAGAGAGCCUGGCUUGCAAGGUUGAGCGAACGU